CCAGCCCCGCGUGCAGCUCGCACCCCUUCCCACGCCUGUUCGGGGGAGAGCCCCGGGCCUGGAGUGGGAAGCCUGGCUCCAGCUCUGGUUACCUGCAGUGACUCCCCAGGCCGUUUAGGCGAGUCCAUUGGGCCGCCUCUGCCUCGGUUUCCCCACCUAACCACGGAAGGUGCUCCUCCCUUCCAGGCAUCUGUGGUCUUCGAGCUCCACGCGGGAGAGGCGCCGGUCUGGCACCUCCUGCCCAGGGUCGGCGCCUCCUGGCUCUCGGGGAGGGGGGCAUCCUCCAUCCCCUGCACCUGCCUCGAGAGGAACCAGGGACAGAGCACCCCCACCCCCACCAGGAGCUCCGGAAAAACGGCUUCAGAAGAGCAAAUAUACACACACACCCACCUCCCGCCCCAAACAUCCCCGAAGAAAGGUAACCACAGAAACAGCCAGAAAUGUGGAGCUGGGCGAUCGUAUGAGGCUGAGACAAAACUGUCUUUCUAGCGUCUCUAGGGGAGAGCUUGAAUCCCUCCUUCCACUCCUCCUCCACGGAAAACAGAGUGAACUCCUGCUACAGAGGCCGCCAGAGCAACAUGCAAGACCAGCUUUGAGGGGAGCGGGCACAGGGCCUUGCAGGGAAGGAGUGUAUCUCUCUCAGAUGAGAUACAAGUUGGUCCCUUCCCUUGCGUCCCUCCUGUUCCUUCAAGAGGAGGACUGUCUACCCACCCCGAAGCUUCAUGGAGAGAGAGCACACCGUCGUUAUUCAAUAUGUAGUUUUGAAUUUAACUAGAGCAAAGAAGAAAGCAAAUUCAGGUGGAAGGAAGAAGAAAAGGGAAAAGGGCUGUCCCCAUCCUUCUAAGGAGAUGGUGCAGUGGCUCACCUUUGGGA
rnacentral:lncRNA from 1 species